GAUGAACGCUAGCGGCAGGCUUAAUACAUGCAAGUCGAGGGGUAGCGAGAUUGUAGCAAUACAAUUGUUGACGACCGGCAAACGGGUGCGGAACACGUACACAACCUUCCUACAAGUGGGGAAUAGCCCAGAGAAAUUUGGAUUAAUACCCCGUAACAUAGCGAUGUGGCAUCACAUUGCUAUUAUAGCUUCGGCGCUUGUUGAUGGGUGUGCGGCUGAUUAGAUAGUUGGCGGGGUAACGGCCCACCAAGUCUACGAUCAGUAGCUGAUGUGAGAGCAUGAUCAGCCACACGGGCACUGAGACACGGGCCCGACUCCUACGGGAGGCAGCAGUAAGGAAUAUUGGACAAUGGACGCAAGUCUGAUCCAGCCAUGCCACGUGAAGGAUUAAGGUCCUCUGGAUUGUAAACUUCUUUUAUAAGGGACGAAAAAAGGUCUUUCUAGAUCGUCUGACGGUACCUUAUGAAUAAGCACCGGCUAACUCCGUGCCAGCCGCCGCAGUAAGAC
rnacentral:rRNA from 1 species